AUUCCUGGAGGCUCUCUGGCCUCUCUCCCUCCAACCUCCUGAGAGGAGCAGGAGGAGGAGAGAGACAAAACAAAAGGCACAAGAGAAGAAGGAGCCAAAGUAACACAAACACGAGGUUGUGAGGUCCAAAGCAAGCAGUGCCGGGGCAGGCCCCUUCCCAAAAUCCCGUCAGCUUUUGGAGGAUCCGGGGGUCCUGCAGAAAACGCUGCCCUUUUAUGGCCAGGCGAGGAGGGCCGAGCACAGGAUCCUGCCCUACUAAGGGAAAACAUCUCCUGCUCAGUGUUUGCAAGGAGAACACCCACAGAUUUCAGACCUGUUUCACUCCUGAGCAGUCCAUGCCUGGGUGUCACCACUCUAUUUUGACCCAGCACUGCUCCAGCCCUGCUGUCAGAGCCAGCUCAAGGUGACAGUGUGACCUCCACAGCAGCAGCAGCACCUGAGAGCAACCCUGGAUCCCCAACAUUGAUUCCUGCAGGGAACACGGCUCUGGAAGCAUCAAAAUCAUUGUGUUCUUGAAAGAAAGCUUGGUGACUGUGGGAAUCACCAAGGUGACUGGGACCCUGGCAGGGGUCAGGAACCCCCUGGACAGAGCCCCCAGAGACACUGUCUGUGAUCUCUGUCCAUGGAAAAGAGUUUUCAAUCUUACAGGAUGAAUUACAAGCUCUGAGUGUUUGAUAAGAGUAAUAAUUAAGUGUGGAACAGGUGCAAAAGUAAAAUUUUAGGAUUCUAGAUUAGGGGUCCAAAGGGGACAAGAUGCAGGAAAUUGGGUGUGUCUUGUCCUUUUUCUCCUUCUUCAUGCCCUCCAUGUUUCACUGUGGUGUUGGCAUUUUUCUGUUGGUUCAGGCUGGGGACACACUGUCCAACGUAGGUGACAGAUAUUGGCACGUUAUUGUAAAUCCAGCACAGGUAGUUUGUGGUAUUUAAUGUUUGUACCAUCCCACUGAGGGCAGAGCCCCACACGCUGCCCUGCAGGACAGAGCUGCGGCAGGGCAGCAGAACAUGUUAGAGAUAAACAGAAUAAACACCCUUGAAACCAGCACAGACGAAUUAUGGCUUCUGCUUUGGCAGUGGGGCUGACAGAUAGAGACGUUUUACAAUCUCAGAAUCAUCAAUAUCUCAGAUUCUGACAGGUGAAUACUUCUAAUUCCCUGCUGGGGAGGGAACUGUGCCCCUUUACCCCACCCUGCUGGGCUGCGUCCAGCUCUGGGGUCACCGGACAGAAGGACCUGGAGCUGCAGGAGCAGGGCCAGAGGAGGCCAUGGGAACGUUCCAAGGGCUGGAGCCAGGCUGGGAAUGUUCACCUGGAAAAAAGAAGUCUCCAGGGAGAGCUCAGAGCUCCUUGCAGGGCUUAAAGGGACAAGGAGAAGACAAGGGAUGGAGGGACAGGACACAGGGAAUGGCCUCAGACUGAAAGAGGACUGGGUUAGAUGAGACAAUAGGAAGAAAUUCCCAAUUUUCUCUGCAAUGGCACAGGUCUCCUGGAAAAGCUGGGGCUGUCCUUGGAUCCCUGGAAUGUCCAAGGCCAGGCUGGAUGGGGCUUGGAGCAGCCUGGGACAGUGGGAGGUGUCCCUGCCAUGGCAGGGGGUGGCACUGGGUGAGCUUUAAGGUCCCUUUUAGGUCCUUUCCAACCCAGUAAUUCCCUGACAAGCUGGUUUGUGCUGCCCUGCGACACAAGAGCUCCUCCAACACUGUUUUAUCUGCUCUGGGGUGGUGCCACCCCCCUCCA
ensembl:lncRNA